UACGGGGGGGGCAAGCGUUGUUCGGAAUUACUGGGCGUAAAGGGUUCGUAGGUGGCCAACUAAGUCAGACGUGAAAUCCCUCGGCUCAACCGGGGAACUGCGUCUGAUACUGGUUGGCUUGAGUGCAGGAGAGGAACGCGGAAUUCCAGGUGUAGCGGUGGAAUGCGUAGAUAUCUGGAGGAACACCGGUGGCGAAGGCGGCGUUCUGGACUGCAACUGACACUGAGGAACGAAAGCCAGGGGAGCAAACGGG
rnacentral:rRNA from 1 species